CGCCGCCACCGUCGUCGUCGUCGUCGUCGUAGCCGUAACGGUAAUUAAAGUCGCCUUUCAUUUUGCGUAUAGUAAGUGACAGCGCGAGCUAUAGCUAAAAUCGGUCGCACAGGACAGCGUGAAAGAUCGGUACUGGCAAAAGCACCGGACUUCGCCGACGAUCAGCUACGAUGUUCGAUCGGAGAGUUGCAAAAACAAGAGCAGGUCGGAGGAACAUGACCCACAUUACGUACCGAUGAAUGCAACAGGCAAGAGGCGUCGGGUUCAGCCGAGUUUAAAGGAGGUCGCAUCCUAAAUUCGAGAGCAACAUUCGACUCAUCGCGCGUCGGACGUUAUUUCGCGACCGACACAAUUCCCGAGAGAUCUCACUUACAAUCUCUUAAUUAAAGCGGAAUUCAAUUGUCGGAGCGAGAAACAUCUUCGUAACGCGCUAAUGGACGAUCCGACCAGGACACGCGGAAGUAUAGACGCCGAGACCCGUAUUUCCGCCGCGUGCUUCCGCUUGCGGAACGAUGCGGAACCGUACGAGUUUCAACAACCGGCCAUGCUUGGUUCUCGUGGCGGUUUUUGAGGCGAAAGCAAAAGAAAAAAAAAGAAAA